CGUAGUAUCUGCUAAAACAGUGUAUGCGAGAGAUAGAAACGCCUGCGUCUGGCUCUGUCCCGACCGGAGGAAUUUCGACUUUCCUGCACAAGCUGUCUCCCGGGGACGGCUGUUUACACAAGCCUUUUUAAAAUCUUUUGAUAAGACUACACGGAGAGGCCCCACCCACUCAGAGGUUGGGACGGCCCCGAAGCCUCUGAUCGCCGCAGAAGUGGGUCUGGAGCGCCCUUGCACCCGCCGAGG